UUCAACUCCAACUACAUCCUUCAAAGCAAAAACGUAGUCUUCGAGCGACAAUUUUCCUCCCCAAAAAUUCUUACACACCUACAAAUUCCAAUGUGAUUGAAUUUAAUUUUAGCAAAUAACACAGUUGUAAGUGAACAUUCACUACAACAAUAAAUCUAAGCCAAACUACUAGAAAAGAAGAUUUUGAUCUCUAUAUGGUCCAAGUUUCCCGUUUGGUAACAGGUUGGAACUUGACAUAUGUGAAUAUUAUUUCACAGUUGAUUCAAUCUAUAAUGUUGGAGCAAUAAAAGUAGAGUCUGUAGAGAAGGUUAAUAUUAUAAAGGGUUUCAAUUGUAGAAGUGGUGUUCCAAUGGUAUAUAGAGACAAGAAUAAUGUGAGCUAUUUGAUCAUGGAUAUAGGAGGGAUUUGGGUCCUUUGCAUGCAACAAUAUUUUGUUUAACCAGAACAUAAUAUUGAUGUGUGAUAACACUUUUUUACAUGAAAAUAUUUUGUCACACUGUUGCACCAUGGGAGAGGAUUCAAAUCCAUUUUUCAACUUGAACUAUAGUUUCCUGUAAAAAAAAAAAAGAUAAAUAAAUUUAAGAAAACAUAAAAGUAAAAAAAAAAAAGAUGAUUAUGUGCAAUAAAAAAAUCCUGUGUAUUUACUGAAGUCAUGCAUCUCAAAUCGCCUGAUUAAAAUUAGAUGAUUAAUAGGCAUUUGGCCCUCUUUUGUACCCUCUUUUGAAAAAAUAUUUAUGCAUCACUCAUAAGGUAGAACUCACUUUGCCAGUAACUUUGUAUUUAUAAAAUUUCAAAAGCUUGAUAUUAUAAUUCCAUAGACGUAAUCUAAUAUUUUUUACUUUGCUUAUACCGAUCAUCAUAACAAAAGGAUAAAGUUAAACUAAUAAAUUAAAUAAAUUUUUAGAAAAACCAAAAAAUAAAAUGACUAAAACCAUCUUCAUAUACAUCAAAACGACAUCAUUCAAAUAAAAUUGGCAUCAUUCAAAGAAAAAACUAGAAUCCAGCAACAAUCAUUGAACAAAAAUAAUUAAAAUAUACAUCAAAACGACAUAGAUAAAAGCAUGAAGAAACAUAAAUAGCACAGGCACCCAUUCGUGUUUUAUGUGAGAAAUAUAAAUAAAUAAUCCAAUGUGAUCUAAGAUUUAGAUUAUUCACUCAACAUAAAAAUGAAAUUGAUGGCAUAUCCACUACAUUAAAUUGUAGGACUCCAAUCAAAGCAUGGUGGCAAAGCCACAAUACUAGAAGAAAAAAGGAGAAAAAACAUAAAAGGCGAAAGAUAAAACAAAGAGAUUCAUCGUAUUACCUUCAUUGUAGAAGCUAGAUAAAGCUCUAGUUCGAUGAAUAAGCUAGCUUGAAAAGGGGUGUUUAUCGUUACACACCUAUUGAAUUACAAACAGUGGAAAAAGCAUGAACAAGCAAAGUCGAGAGAGAGAGAGAGAGAGAGAGAGAGAGAGAGAGAGAGUUGUGUGUGUUACAGAAGCUAACGCAUCUUGGAUCCGAAAGAGAUAUAUAUGUGAUGAGUAGUAAGAAAGAAACAAAUGUAAUGUCUAAAACCGAAAUACUUAGGUUUUCUUUUUUUUGCGUUAACCCUUCGAUUACAUGAGAAAGGGGCUCCGAUAAUCUAGAAUUCGGCCAUGAGGUAAGGAUAACAUGACCAAGAAUUGUUUCAGCUACGAAUUGAACUUGGGAACAAUUCGUCCUUGAUGAAGUUCAUUGCUUGGUUAACGAAAUACUUAGUUUUGGUGUAGAAUGUUUCCAUCCGAUAACUUUCAUUUAUAAUGUUAUUAUUUAUAAUGAAAAACUUAAUUUUGGUGUAGAAUGUUGCUUGGUGAACGAAAUACUAAUAUAUUUAUAAUGUUAAACUUUUUAUAAUAUUAUUUAAAUCUUCUAAUUAAAAAUUAGUUGAAUGUCAUUGUAAUAAAAACAAUAUCGCUACAAAAUCCGCCAACAAAGAAGACGACUAUGGAAUUUCUCCUUGUUAAAGCAAAAAACAAAAUAAAUUUAAACCUACCUAAAAAAAACGUACAAAACAGUAGCAAUCUAAACAAAAAAUAAAAGAAACAAAAACAUCUAGCAUUCCGAAUCCGAGAUUGAUCUGGAGAUAAAAACCGAACAUAAAUGCCAUGGAGCAGACCACGAUCCAGAUCCGGAGAGUGGAGAGGCUGACGGCCUUGACGCUGAUGAGUAGCUUGAGUGCCCAGGGGAUGUAAGUGGAGACCAAAAAGCAGUGCAUGGAGUAGCGUUAAGUAAGAGGAUCAUUGAUGGUGAAGGGGUUGAUUCGCGCGAUACGACCGUGGAAUAAAGCCUCAAUGUGACUGCUUUUGAUGGUUGAGUCCAUUUCUUGAGUGGGAAUGUGGAAGAAGGUGAGCAUGAGUUUAGGGUAGCAUGAAAUAACGUAGAGAGAAGAAAUAUAAAAGAGAAACAUAACAAAAACAGUGAUGACGUGUGGAACCACACCAAGAUGAUGAGCGAGUUUGAGAUCAAAAGCAGCACUGGACACAAAUACUAUGAAGGAGAUGACGGUCCAGAAUCGGAGUGUGAAGAGGCUCAUGUCUUUGAUGAUCUUGACUUUCAAGGGGAUGAUGAGAAAAAGAAAUAAGAUGAAAGGGUAAACUUUCAAAUAUACAAGGAAAGUUUUGUUGUUGUAGUUGUUGAUGUUGAUGUUGAUGUUGAAGGCAUAGGUGAAUGAGAUACAGUCUAAGGCGAUGGAUAAAGCAAUGAGAGAGAAAAAAUAGUUCACUGAAAUCAUAGCUUCAAGGUACAUGCUUCUUGUUGCCAUAACCAUUGCUUGAGUUUUUGAGGAAGAAGAUGAUGGGUCAAGAGAAUAUAUCAUAGUACUGUGUUUUCACAUGAUUACAUGAAUACCGUUCGAUCUAAUUAAAAGAAGAGGAUCGAUGACAUGGACAAGUAUUCAAUGGCUUAGAUUGUAUGUUUGUAUUUUUGUGUUUUCCUUUCCAUAUUUGAAUUUAAAUUCCAUUUAUUUAUAUCUUUAAUAAUGUCUAUUUUUAAAAACUAAAAAAAAUUGCUACCUAAACAAGUUGUCGAGGGAUAGCACUUGUGUGACAUAGAGUUGGGUGACAUUGGUGACAUUGACCAAUCACAAUGUUGCAAUGCUUGUGAAAGAGAGAGAAACACAAACAUUGUGACAUUGUGAUUGGCUAAUGUUACCAAUAUCAUCCAAUUUAUAUCACACAAGUGUUAUCCGUUGUGAAGAUCUUUGAAACUAAAAAAUUUAAAUUACGCUGCAACUCAAAACUAGAAAUUCCAAUUUCAAGUUAAUUCCAAUCAAUUUUAUAAACAAAAUCAAUUUUAGCUCAGUUGUGAUGAUAGAAGAUGAGGUGUUGUUGUUAGGGGUUUCAACGAGUGUGAUGGUUUUUUUUUGGAAUGGUUUUAGCUUAACUUUUGGUGUAUGUUGCUUUUUGGUGUUAAUUUGGUUUUGGAGGAUUGUUUUUAAUUGGUGUUUAAGAUGUCAUGUGUAUGUAUUUUCAUUUGGAUGUUACGCCUAUAUACGAUGCUUUUGUAACUUCUGUCUGACCGGUCGUUGUUCGUCAUAUAUAGUGACUUAAUUAUUAAUAAAUUUUGUUGUUAAAAAAAAAAAAUCAAUUUAACUCGAGCUACCAUUAAAACCAAUUUUACACCUCCAAAAAUAAUAAUGGUUGCUCCAAACAUUCACCAUGCUGAUGAAUAAUAUCUCAAAGGAUUAAUCUUUAGCUUCCAGUCAGAGGAUACCUGGAGCAACCAAAACAAAUUUUAAAAGUAAAGGGAUGCUGAUCUAAACUAAAGCAAAACAAGAUAUCCUAAUCAAUAUAAAAUUAUUUCUAUAUUGAGGAAAUUAGAAAACCAUAAAUUAAGUUUAUUUCACGAGUUUAUCAUAAAAAAAAAUUAAAAAAAAAAACUCAAAUCAAAAUUAAAUUUCAAUUUCAACCUUUUAUUUAUAAAAUAACAUUUUUAUGAUUUAUUUAGCAUUUCUAUUCCCAUUGAUGGAGUGUUUCUCCUUUGAUCAUGUUGACGCAAACACUUGGUCUCUUUGAUCGCUUGUAUCACUGGUUUAGGGAUAGCGAUGACUUUCCAUGAACACAGACAUUAUAAUAUUUGUUCUUGUCUUGUUAGAUAAAUAUGAUAUACGUGUAUGCUUCAUAUUUGCACGAGUAUAUAUCCUUUAAACGGGUAAUCUGCAUAUUUUGAGAUACAUGCAAAUAAUUGUAUAUAUUCAUACAUAACAACUUUUGUUAAAAGAAAAAUGAAUUUCUAUGAUUUUUAUUUCUAAUAAUAAACUAUUACCUAGAAUUUCUUCAAAUUCUUUUAAAGCCACAGAAAAUAUUAACACAUAAAAAUUAUAUACAUUUCACUCUAAAUUUAACAACAAAAUUUCUAAUCAAAACAAAAUAUAUUCAAUCGGUCAAUUGGUGAGGACCGUGGGUGGAGGAUUUACAUGGAAGGAGGAUAUACAAUGUGAAAUGAAGAUGGAAUGAAAAAAUAGAAUGAAGAAAUACCCCAAUUAGUUGUAACUCAGAAUCAUUGCAACUCAUUUUGAAUUUAAUGAAUUGAGCUUCUUUUCACUCAUUACAACUGCUUCUAAUUACAUGAUAGGUGCAACAAAUAACAACGACUUCAACAAAAAAGAACUCUCACUUCCAGUUCUUUAAGCAACUCUAAAAAGCCAUUUCUGCUUGGUACGACAUCAUUUUCCACGACUGUGUAAAAUCUAAAUACGUAGGUAACUUCUGCUAUGUCAUCGAAUACAACUUCUGCUUAAUGUAAUUUGAAAAAAUAAAAUAAAUGCUUAAAUAAUGGAGUUCAAUGUCAAGCAUUCAUGAGAUACUUUCAAAUUUUAGCAAUCACACCAUCCCUUGUAUAGUAGGGUUCCUGUCUAUUAAGACUUCGAGUCCCUAUCCCUAUGCUAUCUUGAUCAAAACCAUUGUUCCAACAAUAUUCAACUAUUCAUACUCCAUUCAUGCAAGUAAAAAAACAACAUAACCUGUAUAGUUUAUUUAGCAUUAACGGAAAUAUAAUGCCCAUUCCAACUUUGUACUUUAAGGACUUCAAUUGGAAUGGAAACCCUUCCUCUGGUUGGACACAACAUACUUGGUAGCUCUCUCUCUUCAACCUUGUUCUUUGUGUGAGCUUGGUGAAAGAAAUAAACAUCUACAUUGUUGCUGCAGAAGACAAAGAAACUUACUGUUCAAAUCAAUGUAGCCUAUGAUAAUUUAAAAGAAAUAUGGCAUUUUUCAGACAACCAUUUACAUUCAAAAGGGACCACAUAGCAAUUUUCGGAAGCACAUGAACUAUAUUGGGCGGCACUAGCAGCUCAUAGUAAAAUUCCUAGCUUUAAGACAUAAAUAUAUCCAAUUGCUAAUAGAUUUGUUUCACUUCUAGACCAUACGUUAUGUUACUUCACCUUAAAGGUAUAUAUAUCCCUUUUAUUUGAAGACACUUGUUGAGCAAGCAUGAGCUCCAUAUACUACUAUAGAACUUAUCAUAUAACCAACCUCAAAGAAAGUAUAUCAUCAUCAUCAUCAUCAUGUCCAUACUCUUUCAGUAAAGAGUCAAUCAAACAAACAACAAGCUUGGUCAAUAAAGAUUAUACACCACUCCUCCAAACAUGUAGAAAAAAAUUUGAUCUAAAACAGCAAUUAAAUCUGAAAAAAAAAUGAAAAUAAAACUCAUAAUUUGGUCCAUGAAAAGAAUACAUACUGAUUUAGUGCCAUAGUAGGGCACAUACAAAAGAUAAAUACAGCAAUUCAAAUAACUUGGUUGAGGUCAACUAAAUAUUUUCAAAUCAUAUAUGCCUUAAAUCAAAUGAAACAUAGCAAUUAUUGUUUUCUUUAUGUUUCCUUAUUUAUCCAACUAAAAGUGCUUAUAACAUCUUACAUGCAACAUCUGAAAAAUGAUAUUGAAAACAGAAGCUUCUUUCUGCCUUAAAGGUCAGAUACUUAGAUAAAUCUCUCCUUUACAGGGUAAAAAAAUAGGCUUAAUUGCAUGUUUGGUCGCUUUUGUUUAUUUUAAGUUUUGAGUUGGUCCCUUAUGUUUUAAAAGUUUUAAGUUUGUCCAAAAUGUUAAUCAUAUUGGAAUAAGUUAGUCCCUUCCAUCACUUGGCCGUUUAGAGAUUUGGGCUGAGAAUAUGAGUGUUGGAAUUUUUUAUUUUUGGAAUAAAAGAGGGCUGAAGCCGAAAAACGAGUGUUGGAAUUUAACUUACUUACAAAAUUAGUUUUAAAACAUUUUUUAAUUUUUUUUGUUUUAUUAAACUCAAUAUUAUGUGGCGGAAGGGACUAACUUAUUCCAAAAUGAGUAACGUUUUGGACCAACUUGAAACUCUCAAAACAAAAGACACCAACUUAAAACUUUUAAAACAUAAGGGACCUACUUGAAACCUAAAAUAAACGUAAGGGGCUAAACAUGCAACUAAGCCAAAAAAAUAUACAUGUGCAUAAACAAAAUAGGACGUAAAACAUUGGUUUAAUAAAGGUCACAUAUUAGAAAGAGGUUGAAGGUUUAAAUAACCGUUAACUUGCACCUGUAAAAUACUCUACAAGCUUAUACAAGUCCAGUUUGUGCAUGAGAAAAUAUGCGAAAGUGGUUAUAUAAAAGAGUUCCUUAAAGUUAAAUAGUCUUGAAAAUAAGUUCUUGAAGUGAUUUUUGUUCAGUGAAUGAUGUAGUCCUAUAAAAUACAGGACAUGGACAGCAUACUACAUACCCAUGGCAGUUAAUCAAAAUAAUACCUAUGAACUAUGAUAUUUAAACCUGAGUCUAACACUGUGACAAGGGACGGAGAUCUGAGGACAAAGACGAUUGAACCAGUUAUGACCAUAAGAGCUCACAGAGGAGACAACGGAGGCUUAACGCAGUGACAAGGGACAGAUAUGCAAAGCCAUAGAGGUUGUGUUGAGGGUGAAUGUAGCAAUCAAAUUCAAACAAAAAAAAUAACUUAUGGCUCAGAACUUGGUUAACCGUAGCCGGUAAAGAAAUAAAAUAAAAGGUUGGUGUGGCUUCAAAUGAGAGGUUGUGUUAUAAAGAGUGUUUUGAGGGUGUGACCCUAGCAUUCCUCAUCCCUUUUAUUUGCAUACACUUAUCAAGCAAGUAGGAGCUCCAUGAUACUACUAUAGAACUUAUCAUUCAACCUCAAGGAAAGUAUAUCAUCAUCAUGUCCCCAUACUCCUUCAGCAAAGAGUAUAUGAUAUUUAAACCUGAGUAUACCGUAUCUAUAUCAAAAUAAUACCUAUGAACUAAUGAUAUUUAAACCUGAGUCUACCAUAUCCAUAUCAGUAGGCCCAAAGGUAAAAAUAACAAGAAGCAAAAAGUCAAGUGCUAUGUAAGGAAAGACUAUGGCUUCAAUGUAGUGUUUUGAAUAAUUGCAGUUGACAUCAUUAUUAAAAUUCCAACCAUUAUAAUAUUAAUAUUGAGUUUUGGGAGCCUUCACAAUUGUACCGCAAACAUUAGUACAGGUGCAUUUGUCCACAAUUAUCUGCAGUUUUGGUAUUUGCAAAGCAACUACAUGCAAUGCAACUAGAACCUAAAAUAAGUUUGAAUUCAGUAACCUAAUCCGGUAUAGCUUAACUUAUACCGUAGAUUUUUCGGACCAAGUAACAAGGAAGGAGAAAUGACUACAUCGCAAAAUAGAAGAAUUAUGUUCCCAUAAAUUAAAGAAAAUUUCAACUUUUGAAUAUUGGUAUUAGAUUCAGACUAAGAUGCAUAACGAUUUUGAAAAAAUAUCAAUGAAAACAUAACCAACAACGAAACAAGUUAGCUAAACCAGCUACAAUCACAGUCUGUAACAAAAAGUAUUAAAAUCGAAUACCGAACAAGAUAACAAAUUAUGGCUAAAAUACCUGAAAAUCUAAUCAUGAUGUGCAUGUUUUGUCCAUGGUGUAAGCAAGAUUGAGUUUUUCCUCAUACAACUUUAAUAGAUAAGAAGACUCCUUAAUACCCUUUAUACACGUAUCAAGAAACAGCUUCUCAGACACUACAAAUGGACAAGUUAAGCUUGCAUUCUUUUUUCGCAAACCUUUCUUCAGAAGAUAUUGCAAUACAGAGGCCCUUGGAAGGACCCUCUUUUCAAAACUUAAAGAAAAAACUGAUGGUCCUUUGGCAAGGGCAAGUGCAUCCCAACCCAACUGAUUGACCCAAAAGUUCAUCACUAGAUUAAUUUUAUCAAUGGAUGUUAACAUACAAUGAGGUUGCCUUCUAAAUGCUUGUAGAACAUCUUCAG
rnacentral:lncRNA from 1 species